rnacentral:sRNA from 2 species
ACUUUUUGACGCAUUGGCUGGACAAUCCGCAUCUACCUUAUUCCCCCGAAUGAGAGAUCUCUUCCAGCAAGCCAGACAUUCAGUCUGGCUUUUUU